CCCCUCCCAGGGUCGCACCUGGAGAGUUUCCAGUACUUUCCCAGACUUGACUACAGGAGGGAGAGUCAAGCAGAGGCCUGUCCAUUCCAUUCCUAGCUUGGCCAGUGGCUAGUGAAUGGAAGGCAACCUGCUACAAAU